UGACCCGUCUUGAAACACGGACCAAGGAGUCUAGCGUGUGCGCAAGUCAUUGGGAUAACACUAAACCUAAAGGCGCAAUGAAAGUAAAAGUUCGCCUCGCGCGAACUGAGGGAAGACGGUCGAUCAUUUCAUGAUCGGCCCGCAUUCCCGGGGCGUCUCAUUCUCAUUGCGAGAAGAGGCGCACCAAGAGCGUACACGCUGGGACCCGAAAGAUGGUGAACUAUGCCUGGUCAGGACGAAGUCAGGGGAAACCCUGAUGGAGGUCCGUAGCGAUUCUGACGUGCAAAUCGAUCGUCGGAACUGGGUAU
rnacentral:rRNA from 1 species